rfam:Myotis lucifugus cont2.57823, whole genome shotgun sequence.
GGCAGUUCUCGGGUGGCACACCCCGGAAUCGGGCUCCCUCCUCUCUGGUUCAGAGGUGUAUCACCUGAGAACCACC